ensembl:lncRNA
GAGGCGAUAAGGUUAUGUUACAUCUGAUAACAAAGAAGAUUCAGCAUUAUUCUGUCGUCUCUUCAGAAUACAUUAUAGGUCGUUGUAACCUAAUUAUUGACAAUGGCUAACGAACUGGCUUUUCGUUCCCGGGUUACCUCCAUUAUGGAAGCUUUAACAACAACAGUCGUGCAGGAAAUCUGUCAGCUUAUGGGAGAAAGCUAUGCUGCUCUAAGAGCAGAAGUGUUGCAUCAAAAAAAGAGAGACACGGUGAUGGAGAAGAUGGCAAACGUCUUUGAUAACGUUUCUAAACCGGCUCCCCCAAUAAUUUCGGGAAACUUUCCAGUCGUGGGGCAAGUCUUCAAUGAACAAGAGGCCAGCUGUAUUUGGUUAGAAGAUGGUGCUGUUGAAGGUCUUGUCUCUCCGGUACCAGAGACAGGAAGACAAGAGGUAUCAAAGCCCCUCCGUCAAACUGAAGACACUGUCCCGUGGCCAGUAUGGCUUAUAAAACAGGAGGAGGAAGAUGACGAUGAUCUGGACUUACAAGGUGACAGGAAGUGGAAACCAGAGUCGGCAGAACCGAAUGUCACAGGAGAAAGCGACGGAGAAGACAGAGGUCAAGUCUUUGGUGGAUCUAGUGGACUUGAGGACUUCAAAAGAGAAUUUCAAGAGAGUCCGUUGCUGGAGUCUGUUGAGGACACAGCAUCACCUAUAAAGAGACACGUUAGACAAAUGUUAAAACACGCUGGAUCAACAUAUUUUAGCUGCAAUCUCUGUGAUGAGAAAUUCCAGGGCCAGAGUGGCUUGGCCAGACACCGGCGCCACAAACAUGACCUGGUGAAAGCCUACUGUUGCUCUGUGUGCGGGAAAGGCUUCACCUACAUCAAAUCCCUGAACUCUCAUGAGCUCUCUCAUUCUGAGGUGAUCUCUUCAGCUGUACCUGUGGAUGAAACCAGGGCAAGGAAAAUCAAUCUGACAGAUGAACCCACAGACGGGAAUGCCGCAAGAGACAUGAUUAGUGCCAUCCUUCACUCAAAGCCAGGUGGAGAAAAGGUCUUCCAGGAAUAUGCAAACUCCAAAGGUCUAACAGAUAGCACGCGGAGACUGAUGGUGAACAUAAUUGUGGCCGAUAUGAUGGAAAAUCAUGGGAGGACCCCACCAUCAAGUGUCCGCACCAACUACGCCUUGGGGAUUGUGACUUUAUUUCCUUACUUGAGUGAUCCAAAUUCUGAGCAUGGAUAUGAACAAUAUUAUGAUUCAGCUAGUGGGUCUGGCUACCUGACCUGGAGGAUAAAGACAGUGGGUCGCAACAAAUUAUGUAAGACCAAGAAGAAAACCUAUCAGAAUGGUUCAAAGACUCAACGACAUUCCUCAUCAGCUGUUGAGCCACUAUUGGAUGAACAGGUCAGUUCAGUGGGCUCCGAUUGCUCUGGUUCAGCUGUACAUCUGGAUGAAACAAGGUCAAGGAAACGGCGUCGGGCUGAUGAACCCACAGACAGGAAUGUUGCAAGAGAUAUGAUCAGCGCCAUCCUUCACUCAAAACCAGGUGGUGAAAUGGUAUUUCAGGAGUAUAUGAAAACCAAAGGUCUUACGGAAAGCACGCGGAGACUGAUGGUGAACAUUAUUGUGGCAGAUAUGAUGGAAAAUCACGGGAGGACGCCCCCAUCAAGUGUCCGCGCCAACUACGCCUUGGGGAUUGUGACAUUAUUUCCCUAUUUGAGGGAUCCACAUUCUGAGCAUGGAUAUGAAAAAUAUUAUGAUGCAGCUAGUGGGUCUGGCUACCUGACCUGGAGGAUAAAGACAGUGGGUCGCAACACAUCAUGUAAGACCAAGAAGAAAACCAAGUCCACUUAUCAAAAUGGCCCAAAGGUUCUGCGAAGUUCUGUUUUACCUGUUGGGCAACUGUCAGGUGAUGAAUGUGUAGAAGCAAUAUCCCAGCUGAAGCAUACAAAUGACAAGGCACUGGUGAAAGAGAAAAUGAAGAUGACGUUCCAAUAUAGACAGGCGAUGAUUCAUGAUCCGGAGAAGCCCUCAACUGUCCUUAAUGUCUUCCCAAGAUUCCUUGACACUCCAGGCUUGGUACGAUUUGUUAAUAUUGUGAAAUAAAAAAAAAAAUUAAAAGUCUAAAUCCACGGUCGGGAGAGAGUAUUCAACUCUGAUCUAUGGUGAAGAGCUGCAUGUGCACAGCUUCGCACGUAAUAUUUUUUUAUGUUUCAGAUCAAUCAAGAUUUCACCAUGCUUUUUGGAGAGGUUGUGUCUGGAACGUUCCUGGAAAAGUGGCCAACAUUCUUCAAACCCAGGGUGAUAGCAGAUUGCAAAACCCUUCCUUCCAGUGAACUGGUUGAACACCUCCUGUCAUCUGCACAACAGGAACCGAAUGAUUAUGGAUGGGAGAGUGACCUUGCAUCCAUUUUGUUGCUCCUGCAUCUUUUACCCCCCACCUCAAAAGGCCCAAAGACUGCAAAGAUCCGUACCUCUCAAGCUGCUGACCAUCUGGUUAGAUUUCUAAAGGUAACAUUCACAUUGUCAUCUGUGCCAUUCUUUUGCCUAGCAUUUGUUAAAGAUGUACGAAACUCCUGUUACCCCCUAGAACUUUCUUCUGUUUCACAUUGGGAUCAGCGCUCUAGCCAAGUUAUUGACAUCUCACAUUUCUUUCUGUGUUAAUAUUACCUAUGAGAGCGUGAGCAGCAGGGGGCGCCUUUUUAAUUUGGAAUAGUUCGUUUUCUUCAAAAAUAUUGAAAUGUUUUGUUGAAGUGUUUCCAAAUCCUGCUUGCGGAUUGCCCCAGGGGUCCCGUGGAGGGAGCUGCAAUUCGCCGCCACCAUCCGGUUUUGGGGGUUAUUGAUCACAUGGUUGCCUUGCCUCGUUGGGCUCUUAAGACACCUUGUGGCACCUUGGGGGUCUGUGAGCUCAGUUAAGGUAGAGGGCUUGAGUGUCUCUCUUCCGGAACAUAAAGAUUCCUGUCAAGACUUUGUAGUUAAGCAAGCAGUGUGAACCAGAAUGUUUCGGAUGUGCCUGGGAGGAUGCAUACUGUAUGUUUACAUUGACCGUCCCAACUUAGCAGGGAAUUGCUGCGAUAAAGCGGGCCGUUGGGUAUGCAUCCCGGCCUCAGAAAGCCAUCCUGCUUAGCCAUAGAGCUAACAAUGAAGUCUGGGUCCGCAAAAACAUGCAAGCCUGAUGGAUACAGCUAUGUUAUACAAGUUUAUUUAGAGUAAAGUUUUCUGGCGGGCAACUGUUCACACAACUUCUCAUGAUGUGGUAUGCACAGAUGCUUAAAUGAAAACCAGUAUGCACAGAGGCUCAAACUGAGUACAAAUUAGAAUGCCGUGGAGUGUCUUCCAACGCUAAUCCUUCAUAUACCUGCUUAGGAUUUUUUGGGAUUGUGGAAGAUGCUAUUUACUGUUGAAUUCUGUAUUGUCUGUUGGUCAGGCGGGGACAAACAUGGCGACCUUUCUAAAGGAUGUUGGAUGUGACCAGCAGCCCUUCCUCCUUUGCGUUGGUGAACGGAAGAACAUACUCCAGAAGUUCUACGUAGUUGUCGACCAGAAGGCCAUCCCAUGCCAGGCUGAAACAUCACUAGCAGCUUUUGAUGAGCUCUUUAAGGCACAUUAUGUCUUCAGUGUGACGUAUCAUGAAGCUUUGUGCAACUUCUACACAUUCAUCCAAACCACUAUUUACAGUAUCGAUGUGGGAAAGGCAAAAGAAUCCUCAAGAGUCAAGGAGAUUAGAGUUAGGCUGCUCAAUAAAAACACUUAAAGGACAUCCAACAAUGUUUUUAUUUAUACAUAAUAUCACUGUAGUUGUGUAUUGAGAAGUUUCAUGAUUUUAAAUAAAAAAUGAAUUUGGG